rnacentral:lncRNA from 1 species
GAUUUAGUGAUUAGGAUUUAGGGUUUAUUAUUUGGAAGGUGGAGGUUGAAAUUUGGGUUUAGUGAUAGUAGUUUAGGGUUUAGUGAUAGUAGUUUAGGGUUUAGUGUUCAAAAGUUAGGUCUGAGUUUAGCAUUUAAAAGUUGUGUGUUGGGUAAGAACCAUAUACUAUUCAAAAGUUAGGUCUGGAUUUAGUUUAAUAUUAUAUAAUAUUAUAUAUUAUUUUCAGAUUUUGAUAAU